rnacentral:rRNA from 1 species
ACCCGCUGAACUUAAGCAUAUCAAUAAGCGGAGGAAAAGAAACCAACAGGGAUUGCCCUAGUAACGGCGAGUGAAGCGGCAACAGCUCAAAUUUGAAAUCUGGCGCAAGCCCGAGUUGUAAUUUGUAGAGGAUGCUUCUGGGCAGCGGCCGGUCUAAGUUCCUUGGAACAGGACGUCACAGAGGGUGAGAAUCCCGUAUGUGAUCGGUUGGCACCCGCUACGUAGCUCCUUCGACGAGUCGAGUUGUUUGGGAAUGCAGCUCUAAAUGGGAGGUAAAUGCCUUCUAAAGCUAAAUACCGGCCAGAGACCGAUAGCGCACAAGUAGAGUGAUCGAAAGAUGAAAAGCACUUUGGAAAGAGAGUUAAAAAGCACGUGAAAUUGUUGAAAGGGAAGCGCAUGCAACCAGACUUGUCCGCGGUGUUCCGCCGGUCUUCUGACCGGUCUACUCGCCGCGGGCAGGCCAGCAUCAUCUGGGAGCGCCGGAUAAAGGUAGCGGGAAUGUGGCCCCUCGGGGUGUUAUAGCUCGCUACACAAUACGGCGCCUCCCGGGUGAGGUCCGCGCUUCGGCUAGGAUGCUGGCGUAAUGGUUGUAUGCGGCCCGUCUUGAAACACGGACCAAGGAGUCUACCAUCUAUGCGAGUGUUCGGGUGUCAAACCCCUACGCGCAAUGAAAGUGAACGGAGGUGGGAACCGCAAGGUGCACCAUCGACCGAUCCUGAUGUCUUCGGAUGGAUUUGAGUAAGAGCAUAGCUGGUGGGACCCGAAAGAUGGUGAACUAUGCCUGAAUAGGGUGAAGCCAGAGGAAACUCUGGUGGAGGCUCGCAGCGGUUCUGACGUGCAAAUCGAUCGUCAAAUUUGGGUAUAGGGGCGAAAGACCAAUCGAACCAUCUAGUAGCUGGUUCCUGCCGAAGUUUCCCUCAGG